CGUGCUUAACACAUGCAAGUCGAACGCUGAAGGCCCAGCUUGCUGGGUUGGAUGAGUGGCGAACGGGUGAGUAACACGUGAGUAACCUGCCCCCUUCUUUGGGAUAACGGUCGGAAACGGCUGCUAAUACCGGGUAUUCACUGUCCUUCGCAUGGGGGGUGGUGGAAAGGUUUUUUCUGGUGGGGGAUGGGCUCGCGGCCUAUCAGCUUGUUGGUGGGGUGAUGGCUUACCAAGGCUUUGACGGGUAACCGGCCUGAGAGGGUGACCGGUCACAUUGGGACUGAGAUACGGCCCAGACUCCUACGGGAGGCAGCAGUGGGGAAUAUUGCACAAUGGGCGAAAGCCUGAUGCAGCGACGCCGCGUGAGGGAUGACGGCCUUCGGGUUGUAAACCUCUUUCGCUCAUGGUCAAGCCGCAACUGUGGUUGUGGUGAGGGUAGUGGGUAAAGAAGCACCGGCUAACUACGUGCCAGCAGCCGCGGUAAUACGUAGGGUGCGAGCGUUGUCCGGAAUUAUUGGGCGUAAAGGGCUUGUAGGCGGUUUGUCGCGUCUGCCGUGAAAUCCUCUGGCUUAACUGGGGGCGUGCGGUGGGUACGGGCAGGCUUGAGUGCGGUAGGGGAGACUGGAACUCCUGGUGUAGCGGUGGAAUGCGCAGAUAUCAGGAAGAACACCGGUGGCGAAGGCGGGUCUCUGGGCCGUUACUGACGCUGAGGAGCGAAAGCGUGGGGAGCGAACAGGAUUAGAUACCCUGGUAGUCCACGCUGUAAACGUUGGGCACUAGGUGUGGGGGCCACCCGUGGUUUCUGCGCCGUAGCUAACGCUUUAAGUGCCCCGCCUGGGGAGUAC
rnacentral:rRNA from 1 species